rnacentral:rRNA from 2 species
UGGAGGAGAGAGGCUUUCUGUGAAGCCGGCCUGUGAGGGAUCCGGUGGAGAGAUCACUAGCGAGAAUGAUGACAUGAGUAGCGACAAACAGGGUGAGAGACCCUGUCGCCGAAAGUCCAAGGGUUCCUGCUUAAAGCUAAUCUGAGCAGGGUAAGCCGGCCCCUAAGGCGAGGCCGAAAGGCGUAGUCGAUGGGAACCAGGUUAAUAUUCCUGGGCCAGGAGGAUGUGACGGAUUGUGGCGGCGUGCGUCCCUUAUCGGAUUGGGGCGUAUCCAAGACAGUUCCUGGAAAUAGCCCUCCAUCAGACCGUACCCCAAACCGACACAGGUGGACUGGUAGAGAAUACCAAGGCGCUUGAGAGAACGAUGUUGAAGGAACUCGGCAAAAUACCUCCGUAAGUUCGCGAGAAGGAGGCCCGGUCCAAGAGGGCCGGGGGCACAAACCAGGGGGUGGCGACUGUUUACUAAAAACACAGGGCUCUGCGAAGUCGCAAGACGACGUAUAGGGUCUGACGCCUGCCCGGUGCCGGAAGGUUAAAAGGAGAGGUGCAAGCCUUGAAUUGAAGCCCCGGUAAACGGCGGCCGUAACUAUAACGGUCCUAAGGUAGCGAAAUUCCUUGUCGGGUAAGUUCCGACCUGCACGAAUGGCGUAACGACUUCCCCGCUGUCUCCAACAUCGACUCAGCGAAAUUGAAUUGCCUGUCAAGAUGCAGGCUUCCCGCGGUUAGACGGAAAGACCCCAUGAACCUUUACUAUAGCUUCGCACUGGCAUCAGGCCAGGCAUGUGCAGGAUAGGUGGUAGACUUCGAAGCCGGGACGCCAGUCCUGGUGGAGUCUCCCUUGAGAUACCACCCUUGCCUUGCUUGAUGUCUAACCGCGGCCCGUUAUCCGGGUCCGGGACCCUGCGUGGUGGGUAGUUUGACUGGGGCGGUCGCCUCCUAAAGUGUAACGGAGGCGCGCGAAGGUUGGCUCAGACCGGUCGGAAAUCGGUCGUUGAGUGCAAUGGCAGAAGCCAGCCUGACUGCGAGACUGACACGUCGAGCAGAGUCGAAAGACGGCCAUAGUGAUCCGGUGGUCCCGAGUGGAAGGGCCAUCGCUCAACGGAUAAAAGGUACUCUGGGGAUAACAGGCUGAUGGUGCCCAAGAGUCCAUAUCGACGGCACCGUUUGGCACCUCGAUGUCGGCUCAUCUCAUCCUGGGGCUGGAGCAGGUCCCAAGGGUACGGCUGUUCGCCGUUUAAAGAGGUACGUGAGCUGGGUUUAGAACGUCGUGAGACAGUUCGGUCCCUAUCUGCCGUGGGUGUAGGAUACUUGAGAGGAGUUGCCCCUAGUACGAGAGGACCGGGGUGAACGAUCCACUGGUGGACCUGUUGUGGCGCCAGCCGCAGUGCAGGGUAGCUAUGAUCGGACAGGAUAACCGCUGAAGGCAUCUAAGCGGGAAGCCCCCCUCGAAACAAGGUAUCCCUUGAGGGCCGUGCGAGACCAGCACGUCGAUAGGCCGGAGAUGUAAGCGCAGCAAUGCGUUCAGUUGACCGGUACUAAUGGCCCGAUUGGCUUGAUCUGAUCCGG